rnacentral:rRNA from 1 species
GGGCCCGCACAAGCGGUGGAGCAUGUGGUUUAAUUCGAUGCAACGCGAAGAACCUUACCAUCCCUUGACAUCCAGAGAAUUUUCUAGAGAUAGAUUAGUGCCUUCGGGAACUCUGAGACAGGUGCUGCAUGGCUGUCGUCAGCUCGUGUUGUGAAAUGUUGGGUUAAGUCCCGCAACGAGCGCAACCCUUAUCCUUAGUUGCCAGCACGUAAUGGUGGGAACUCUAAGGAGACUGCCGGUGACAAACCGGAGGAAGGUGGGGACGACGUCAAGUCAUCAUGGCCCUUACGGGAUGGGCUACACACGUGCUACAAUGGCAAGUACAAAGGGUUGCGAACUCGCGAGAGUAAGCGGAUCCCAUAAAGCUUGUCGUAGUCCGGAUUGGAGUCUGCAACUCGACUCCAUGAAGUCGGAAUCGCUAGUAAUCG